rnacentral:misc_RNA from 1 species
AACGCACCUUGUGCUCCUUGGUAUUCCGAGGAGCAUACCUGUUCGAGUGUCUUUUAAACAAUCGACCCCAAUACUUGUUGGGGCUCGGAUCUUUGGAUGUCAUGCGGUUCCUCUGGGUGCCGCUCCUCCCAAAUUCAUUAGCUGUGAUAACACGAAAACUGGCUUUGUGGAGUGUAAACUGCCUCCAUCCAUGCCGUGCGUGUUCGUGGCUACCAACGGUCUGGACACAGACAAUUGUUACCUUUGGCCUCGAAUCAGGUAGGACUACCCGCUGAACUUAA